rfam:Bacteroidetes bacterium GWB2_41_8 gwb2_scaffold_1940, whole genome shotgun sequence.
AUUGAGGUUGCCGAAAAUCGUAAAAAGAGUAGGCA